GUCUAAGGCCAUAGCACCCUGAACAUGUCAGAUCUUAUCUGACCUCAGAAGCUAAGUAGGGUUGGGCAUGGUUAGUACUUGGAUGGGCGAAAUGGUUGUCAGCGCUUGUUUUACUUGACU
rnacentral:rRNA from 1 species